GUGAGUGGCUUACUUGUUACGCUUGUUGUCCAUUAUCUGAUCAGAUGAGAUAUUUUUCUUUUGAAUAUUCUAGAGCUAGGGUUUUCUUCUCUCAGAGUAUAGGUGCAUGUUCUGUGUGUGAGAAAAAGUUUAGGGUGCUUCCCUUGUUUUGUGCGUUAAGCUGAGAGUGUGAGGUGGUUGAUCCUAGUUUGUGGAGGGUACUUGUUUUUAGGUUCUAACCUAUUUGUGUUGCAGAUCAAGAAGCCCUUUGUUUAGGUGGUUCUUGGUCAAAGAUUGGCGAUGUAAAAUGCUGGUUAACAAUCCAAUGGAGUCUUGAGGAAUUCUUCCAAUCGUGCUCAGAGGUUGCCUUGCGUGGACGCCUAAAGUGCCUUCCUUGUGGUGUUCGUUUGGUGGCUUUUCAAGAAGGGUUCAUGUAUCUUGACGUAGGGUGGUGUGGAUCAACGUUAGAGGGUUUGAAACUUCAAACCUAACACUGAUCAUCUUGGAGUUUUGAAUCACGAACAAGAAGCCGAAUAUACGACUUUGACUGAAGUAGUUAAUGAAGCACUUUGGUUGAAAGCUUAAUACCAUGGAGCAGUGGGUACCUUGCUGGAUUAUGAUGUUACUGAUGAAGAUCUUUCAAUAAUAUUCUUAUUUCCCUUGUCUUGAUGGUGGUUUAAAGAUUUUUAUAUGAAUGACAUUCUCUUGUAGACUUUAUUUCAGCAUCUAGUAAUUGUAUGUUUCUUAUUUUUCCUAUUUUUUUCAUUUCUUUGACUCUAUUCCUCUAUGAUAUAGAUUCUAGAGCUGAGGUAUUAUGUUGACUCUUUUUUGUUUGUCAUUUUUUUUCUUAUGAGAAGUACUAGUGCAUGCAUGAAUGGAACUUUCUUUGCUCUAUACAAUUAUUUUUUUUGUUUAGUAUAUAUAGUGGGAGGCCUACAAGGCCUGUAGGCUAUGUCAGGCUUUCUUAUUUUUUAAAAUGAGUCGGGCUUAGCCUACAAAUAAAGCUUUUUAUAGGUCAGUAGGCCAGAUAGAAUGAAUUUUUUUUGACGUAGGCUUGGGCCAGGAUGGCCAAAGCCCAGCCCAGCCAAUUUACACCCCUAAUUUACAUAUACUUAUUCAAUUUUCUCUCUCUUAGUUUUACUCUCUUAUUCUUGAAGGUUCACAAAAGCUCUCCGCUGGGGUUUUUUCUUUAAGAAAACAAUUCUUGUGCUAAUUGUGUUCUUGGUUCAAUAUUGCCUAGAUUUGGUGUUUUUGCUUCACGGUUCAGUGUUGCAAGUUGAGGUGUGGUACUUUCAUGGACAUUUCUCUCGUUCCAAGGUUGCAGACAAGCGAGUGAAGAAGGAAACUUGAAGUUGUUGUGUUAAAGAGCUUCGGGUGUCUGAGCUCUUGUUUUUACCUAUCCAUUGCUGUGGUUUGGUUGUUACACCUCUAUUUUCUGGUUUUGCAUUUUGAUUUGUAAUCUAGGGUUCUUCGGGUUAUGCAUGAUUUGGGGCUUUUGGUUUAUGUGUUUAAUUGGCACAUGUAUUGGUGUGCCUAAACCUUGUAUAUUCAUCAAUUUUAUAUUAAUGCAAAUAGCCAAGGGAUUUUAACCCCUUUACCCUUGA